CAGUCCGCGGUAAUACGGAGGGGGCUAGCGUUGUUCGGAAUUACUGGGCGUAAAGCGCACGUAGGCGGCUUGGUAAGUUAGAGGUGAAAGCCUGGAGCUCAACUCCAGAAUUGCCUUUAAGACUGCCGAGCUAGCAGGUGAGAGAGGUAAGUGGAAUUCCGAGUGUAGAGGUGAAAUUCGUAGAUAUUCGGAAGAACACCAGUGGCGAAGGCGGCUUACUGGCUCAUACUGGACGCUGAGAUGCGAAAGCGUGGGGAGCAAACAGGAUUAGAUACCCCAGUAGUCCCUGUCUCUUAUACAC
rnacentral:rRNA from 1 species